AAAUUGAAGAGUUUGAUCAUGGCUCAGAUUGAACGCUGGCGGCAGGCCUAACACAUGCAAGUCGAACGGUAACAGAAAUCAGCUUGCUGAUUUGCU
rnacentral:rRNA from 1 species